rnacentral:rRNA from 1 species
UCAGACGAUGCGUCAUGCAUAUCAAUAAGCGGAGGAAAAGAAACUAACAAGGAUUCCCCUAGUAACGGCGAGUGAAGCGGGAAGAGCUCAAAUUUGAAAUCUUAAAGGGUUUCCCUUUACGAAUUGUAGUUUAAAGAAGUGUUUUCUGUUGAGGUUUUGGUAAAAGUUCUUUGGAAUAGGACAUCAUAGAGGGUGAGAAUCCCGUAUUUGACCUUUACUUUCAACUUUGUGAUACACUUUCAAAGAGUCGGAUUGUUUGGGAAUGCAGUCCAAAAUGGGUGGUAAAUUUCAUCUAAAGCUAAAUAUUGGCGAGGAGACGAUAGCGAACAAGUACCGUGAGGGAAAGAUGAAAAGAACUUUGAAAAGAGAGUUAAACAGUACGUGAAAUUGUCAAAAGGGAAGCGUUUGACACCAGUGUUGUUUUUCUGAAAAUCAUAUUAAAGAACUGUUUAUGCUAAGCUGUUUAGACUUUAUCAGCUAAUCUGUUUAGUUUUGAGCUUUUCUUUAAUGCACUUUUCAGUUAACAAGUCAACAUCAAUUUCUUUUGCUGUAAAAAAGCUUGAGGAAGGUGGCUUGAGAUUCGUCUUAAGUGUUUAUAGCCUCUUGCCUAUGCAGUCGGAGAGAUUGAGGUCUGCAGCGUAGAUCCUUCGGGGCUAAAUGCAUUUGUGCUAAGUUAUAGCAUUUUAUAGACAACUUGUUGACUAUGAUUUGUCUUGUAGCUUACUCGCUUAUGUUAUUUUACCUACGCUUAGGAUGUUGAGCGCAUGUCUCCUCUCU